rnacentral:rRNA from 1 species
AUUGAACGCUGGCGGCAGGCUUAACACAUGCAAGUCGAGCGGAGAUGAGGUGCUUGCACCUUAUCUUAGCGGCGGACGGGUGAGUAAUGCUUAGGAAUCUGCCUAUUAGUGGGGGACAACAUUCCGAAAGGAAUGCUAAUACCGCAUACGUCCUACGGGAGAAAGCAGGGGAUCUUCGGACCUUGCGCUAAUAGAUGACCCUAAGUCGGAUUAGCUAGUUGGUGGGGGAAAGGCCUACCAAGGCGACGAUCUGUAGCGGGUCUGAGAGGAUGAUCCGCCACACUGGGACUGAGACACGGCCCAAACUCCUACGGGAGGCAGCAGUGGGGAAUAUUGGACAAUGGGGGAAACCCUGAUCCAGCCAUGCCGCGUGUGUGAAGAAGGCCUUAUGGUUGUAAAGCACUUUAAGCGAGGAGGAGGCUACUGAGACUAAUACUCUUCGAUAGUGGACGUUACUCGCAGAAUAAGCACCGGCUAACUCUGUGCCAGCCGCCGCCGUAAAAC